rnacentral:rRNA from 1 species
ACGAACGCUGGCGGCGUGCCUAAUACAUGCAAGUCGUACGCUUCUUUUUCCACCGGAGCUUGCUCCACCGGAAAAAGAAGAGUGGCGAACGGGUGAGUAACACGUGGGUAACCUGCCCAUCAGAAGGGGAUAACACUUGGAAACAGGUGCUAAUACCGUAUAACAAUCGAAACCGCAUGGUUUUGAUUUGGAAGGCGCUUUCGGGUGUCGCUGAUGGAUGGACCCGCGGUGCAUUAGCUAGUUGGUGAGGUAACGGCUCACCAAGGCCACGAUGCAUAGCCGACCUGAGAGGGUGAUCGGCCACAUUGGGACUGAGACACGGCCCAAACUCCUACGGGAGGCAGCAGUAGGGAAUCUUCGGCAAUGGACGAAAGUCUGACCGAGCAACGCCGCGUGAGUGAAGAAGGUUUUCGGAUCGUAAAACUCUGUUGUUAGAGAAGAACAAGGAUGAGAGUAACUGUUCAUCCCUUGACGGUAUCUAACCAGAAAGCCACGGCUAACUACGUGCCAGCAGCCGCGGUAAUACGUAGGUGGCAAGCGUUGUCCGGAUUUAUUGGGCGUAAAGCGAGCGCAGGCGGUUUCUUAAGUCUGAUGUGAAAGCCCCCGGCUCAACCGGGGAGGGUCAUUGGAAACUGGGAGACUUGAGUGCAGAAGAGGAGAGUGGAAUUCCAUGUGUAGCGGUGAAAUGCGUAGAUAUAUGGAGGAACACCAGUGGCGAAGGCGGCUCUCUGGUCUGUAACUGACGCUGAGGCUCGAAAGCGUGGGGAGCAAACAGGAUUAGAUACCCUGGUAGUCCACGCCGUAAACGAUGAGUGCUAAGUGUUGGAGGGUUUCCGCCCUUCAGUGCUGCAGCUAACGCAUUAAGCACUCCGCCUGGGGAGUACGACCGCAAGGUUGAAACUCAAAGGAAUUGACGGGGGCCCGCACAAGCGGUGGAGCAUGUGGUUUAAUUCGAAGCAACGCGAAGAACCUUACCAGGUCUUGACAUCCUUUGACCACUCUAGAGAUAGAGCUUCCCCUUCGGGGGCAAAGUGACAGGUGGUGCAUGGUUGUCGUCAGCUCGUGUCGUGAGAUGUUGGGUUAAGUCCCGCAACGAGCGCAACCCUUAUUGUUAGUUGCCAUCAUUCAGUUGGGCACUCUAGCAAGACUGCCGGUGACAAACCGGAGGAAGGUGGGGAUGACGUCAAAUCAUCAUGCCCCUUAUGACCUGGGCUACACACGUGCUACAAUGGGAAGUACAACGAGUCGCGAAGUCGCGAGGCUAAGCUAAUCUCUUAAAGCUUCUCUCAGUUCGGAUUGUAGGCUGCAACUCGCCUACAUGAAGCCGGAAUCGCUAGUAAUCGCGGAUCAGCACGCCGCGGUGAAUACGUUCCCGGGCCUUGUACACACCGCCCGUCACACCACGAGAGUUUGUAACACCCGAAGUCGGUGAGGUAACCUUUUGGAGCCAGCCGCCUAAGGUGGGAUAGAUGAUUGGGGUG